GAGGGUAUAGCUUAGUGGUAGAGUGCAUUUCUAGCAUACACAAGGCCCUGGGUUCAACCCCCAGUACCUUUG
rnacentral:tRNA from 1 species